AAUGGGUGAGUUAUAAAAAAAAUUCACCCCCCCCAUACAUUUGUCACGGAAGGGUAAAUUAGCUAGAGACCAAAACUGGUCAUUUGUGCCAGGCUGUAAAUGUUUACUUCUGCUGUAAAGUUGAACAUUUUAGCAUUAACUCCCUUUUGGAGCCAGCCUCAAGUGACCAUUCGAGGAACUGCAGGUUUUAGCAUUUCCUCAUUGGCUUCAUUUGUCAGCCUGGGUGGUUGCUGCUUGGGUUCAGAAUUUAGGCCGGCAGCAGGCGCUGGAAGAGAGGAAGAGCCAUAUGCCAUUGGUGCCAGAGAUAGGUGGCAGUGGCCAGAGGAACCUGUCUCUGGUGGUACAGGGAACAUACAGCAACACAGCAAAGAUACUGAAGCUGAUCAACAAGAAUGGGAAACACACUUGACAUUGUCCCUCUUCAAAGACAAACUGACACUACACCCCUUCUUCAUUAAGGCUGUAGACAGAGUGCACAUGAAGAUCUGCCGAGUACGUCAUCAAGUCCAGAAUUUGGAGCCACACAAACCAGUGAAGAAGAUAAUCCAAAACCUCACUACAGAUGGAUGAUGAAGUAGAGCUUGACAUCCGGACAACAAUUCAGAUGGUGAUACUAAACUAUUCAGAAUGUUGUUACAGUUGAGUCCAAAUGUUUGCAUCCCCUUACUUUGAAAUGGCAGAAAGAGUAAAAUGAUUUUUUUUCCCCCUCAACAUAUUUAAUGCACAUUUAGCUAGCGCAACUGUACCUUCAUCAACAGAAGUAACUAAAGUGGUCAGGAAAUUUAUAAAAAGAAAUUUCGAGUAAAAGAAUGAAAAUCAUAUCAGUGCAAAGGUUUGCAGCCCCCUUUAUGAAAUGUUCUCUAAUACUUUGCAUGUCCGCUAUAUACAGCCCUCUUCAAAGCGAUCCACGAGUUUUCAGUGAUAUUUAAAUCUGGAGACUGGGAAGGCCAUGGUAAAACGUUCAACUUUUUUUAAACCAUUCCUGAGUUUGUUGGAUAGUUGUCUUGAAGGCUCCAGUGCCUUUUAAUUUUUAGCUUUUUGACUGAUGGUAGAAGGUUUUGCUUUAAAAUCUUCUGAUAUUGGGCUGCUUUCAUUCUUCCUUCCACUUUGUGCAGAGCUCCAGCGUCUGAUGAAAGCAUAUACACAUUGAUUCACUCGUUUUGCCAUUUCAAACUAAGGAGAUGCAAACCUUUGGAUUUUAUAUGUAAAUAUGUUUGAAAAGAUGAAUUUUGUGUCACACGCAGCAUGGAAGGAAGACCAGGACUCAAAAAAUGUGUAUUUCAGGCAGUUUACUGUGACGAGCUUGAGUGAGAUUAACAGCAAUUUAUGAAACAGACAUUCUCAUACUGUUGCUAGCUCCCUGCUUCUCCUCGUCUCCCUGCUCCUCCUUCCUAUGCCUUAUAGUGACUGGAGAAAUUAACAUCCAUUCUAGUUACCUUUCACUGUGAUUCUGACAUCAUAUAGCUCCUUAGAGAGGCUACAAUGCAGACAUUGUGGCUACAUGGAUCAUUACAUAAUUUGGUCAUGAAACAGGCAUACACUGUGGUAUGAAGGUCUCAGCUGUCCUUGGUAUAUGACCACCAGUUAUGUGGAAUACACAGAGAAUGAAAGUUCCAAGCUAACGGUGUCGUAUUAAUCAUUCUUAUUGUUGUGAAAUGUAAUGUUCUGUCAUUAGUAUUGCUUAAAUCUGGGAUCUUUUACAUAAGUGGUGCUUUACAGCUGCAGAGUAAUUUACAGUACUGUUAAAACAAUGAAAAAUUGCAUGGUCUUUCAUAAAGGUUAGGGUAAACAAUGUUAAAAUUAACAGUUUUGCUCCUUAGGUUUGAUGGCGAUGUGCCCAUGUGACGAGCAGAGGGACGAAAUCAGUCUUGUCUGUUCUUGUGACUUGUCACCAGUAAAUCACUUUACAUUACUUCAACAUGCGGUGAGCUGAAAUCCUAAUAUUUAAAUUCAAACCUUUACUUCACCCCGUACUGGGAAAAGACGCUGAAAGUGAGAUGUGAGCGAGACAUGGGCAUUACUGAAGCGUGAUUCCAUUCAAUCCAGCGAAAAAAUAGACAUGAAGCGUAAAAAAAGUGAAGGUUCUACGGGAGAUGCGUUUCUCAGAUUCGGUGUGGAUUGAAACAUUUGACAAAAGUGAAUAAUAUCAGAAAGAGGUUACCUCUA